rnacentral:lncRNA from 1 species
AUUUUGGCGCAAAAUUUUUCCGAACUGCAUAAUAGUGAAUCAAUCUGUACUAAUUGAAAUUUAUUCCUGAAAUUACUAACCGUAGUAUAGCAGGAUCAGCACUGAGUGAAGCCACACUAAGCGAAAUAUUCCUGUAUAUUUUUAUCAUAAAUAUGCAAAACUUUUAUUGCUUUGAUGCAUAACCAAUUUUACUUAGAAAACAAGAGAUGAACAUUUACAUUUUUUCAUAAUAUAAUUAUUUAAGUUUUACCAAAUGUCAUUCAUCAUGGAGAUAUUUAUUUUUUCAUAAUGAAUAGCGUUUUAUUAAAGCUUAAACUGUGAAUAUACAAUAAAAUAAAAUUGAGAAUUUUACAUGUAAAUAGAAUUUCUCAAAAUUAAAAUUAAAUUAUUUUUGAGCUAUUUGUCAUAUGGGAAUUCUUUGCAUAAAGGAAAAUAUAUUUUUAUUCUGUUCUUAAUAUACAGAUAAUCCUUGACUUAUGAGAUGCUGUUGUAUGUUGGAGUGGUCAGAAGUCAGAAAUGCUCUCUAUCAACAUUUAUUAUUACCAUCUGCUUUAUUGUAAUAAACUUAACAAACACAAAAAUACAAGAACUAGAAACAAAAAUGCACCAUCUUUAUAUCAGAUCAUUACUCAGGGAUUUGAAUCCAUAUCAAUUGCAUUGGCCAUUUAUAGAAUUUACUGAUUAAAUCAUUGUCAUAAGUAUGACUAGUCAUAAGACGAGGACUGUCUGUUUGAUAUUUUAUAUAAUAAUUUUCAAAUAAAAUAAUUAGGUUCUUGAUGAUUUGUCUAAUUAUGCUACAUAAGUCCAUAUACAAAAACAGUAACUAAACUGAUAUAAAAUAUAAAAAAGCAGUUCCUGAAAGAACUAAAAUUGCCUACUUUCUGAACAGUCUUUUAUUUUUGAAUGAUUAAAUUAUUGACAAUAGAUGCUAAGUUAAUACUAUAAUGCUAACACUUGGGUACAUUCACAGAAAUGUAGGCAAUAACUCUGAGCCACAUCACUGAUGACCACAACCAUUUUUUAAAACAACCAAUGCUGUUUGAUUUACAGUGUCACAACCAAUUGCAACAGAAAUGACCCAGCCAAGGAGGUGGGUUAUUCGUACUACGUGAUCAGGUUGCUUUAUUCCAAAAUAGCAGAAGAAACUGUUUAUUAAUGUUCUCAAUGCCCAUUUCAUAGUUCAAGCUACAUAGGUGUGUUAAAUCAUCACUGAUUACAGGAAUUAUAAAACGGAAUUUUAUUUCAAUACUUUACAUAACAAAUAUUGAAUAUAUAGUAUAUUACUGCAAGUGAUUUUUCCAUAGAUAGAAUUUUUUUUUAAAUAGUUUUUUCAGAUGAUGAUAAAAUUUUCCUUUUAAAAUUUCUGACAUUAAAUUUGCUAAUUGUAAGUUUUCAGACUUUUCAUCAUUAUCGACAAACAAAUUUAUUGAAGAUAUAAUUGCUAAUA